UGUACUGUAAGAAACCCAACAAUCCUAAUCCUGUUGCAUUUAUGAUUUCUUCUUGUAUACAUAGUUCAAUACAAUUAUGUAGAGAUAGCUCAGGAUGUUUUGCAUGCUAAUUGACAACUGCUGAAGUAGAACUUAAAAGUUUUAAACAAUUUAAAUCAAGUAAUAAUAAACGUUAUUAUCACAUAUAUUAUUUUCUUAUAAUCUCCAUAGUGUAAUUAUAGGUAUAUAAAGCCUUAAAUAAUAGCAGAAAGCUUUAUGGCUUAUUGUUAAACAUAAAGACAAUUUUUAAUAUGUCAUGGUAAGGCAUUUUGAUGAGACCUACGAAGUAUUCUGGAGAAACAUACUGUAUUGCCAUUUCACUGAUCUAAGGUGGCAGAUGGAAGUCUUGUCAUGUGCAGUACCACCUCAUUUCAAAGAGAAUAUAUUAACAGAUAUGGAGUAUGGCAAUUUUUAAUGUAAAUAAUGCUUUUCCUUUCUGAAAGAGCCCAUUUACUGUUUUGAGGCCAUUAGACUUCUGUCCUGGCUUCUUCAUCACCGCAAUUCUGCAAUAGGAUUUGAGAGUCAGUUUGAGACUGACAAUUAACUUCUUGCUUGUGUUGCAAAGCUUCCUUUUAUACUCCUGUAAAACUGAACAAAUGACUGCCACUAAUGUUAUGCUCAUCAACUAGUAAGUGGAGGCCACUUAAGGCAGAAAUGUCGGAUUUAGCUCCAGCUGCUGUUCUAAUGUUGCAGAAAGCUUUUGCUGCAGUUCAUUAAAUUCAACUUCAGGCAGUCUCAAAACUGCCAGCUAAUUAUUUUUUUCUUUCCUCGGCUAAGUGAAACCUGGUGUCACCAAUUUCCACUCACAAAAUGGAGCUACAGAAUCCUGCAUUCUGAAGACUGAAGAAACAAAGCAGUGAGGAAGCAACCAACAUAAUUCUUAUAAGAAGAGGACUUAGAAAAUGCCCAUUUACAAAAGGAUGCAGAGAUGCUUCACCAGUAUGUCCGCACAGGACCAACCUCUCCACAGCCAGGGACAGUGCCUGAAUGAAGAAAGACAUCAAGACCCAGCUCCAUAUAUAAACAGCUGAAAAAGAAGAAUGGAAAAGAAGAGAAUAAGAAUGGAGUCAAUAAUUGAAAGCACAAAAAGAAGCUUUAACGAGGUAGGAAGCUCCUGAAAAUGUGAAACAUUAUUGGAGAGCAGAGGGAAAAAAACACCUAUUAUUAUGUAAGAUGCAAGACAAGCAUAAAAAAAAUCUCCUAACCACUGGUAUACUAAGAACACUGGAUACAAAAAAAGGUCAAAGAGGUGAACAGAAUAAAGGUAUCCAGGAAGAAGUUUCACAGCUUCUU